CUUCAACGAGCCCAGCCACAACGGCGUUUCGCGGUCCUGCCCGUACGUCGCGAGCAACGCCUGCGCCUC
rfam:Streptomyces incarnatus strain NRRL 8089 sequence.